UACGUAGGGGGCGAGCGUUGUCCGGAAUUAUUGGGCGUAAAGAGCGUGUAGGCGGUUCGGUAAGUCUGCCGUGAAAACCUGGGGCUCAACCCUGGGCGUGCGGUGGAUACUGCCGGGCUAGAGGGUGGUAGAGGCGAGUGGAAUUCCCGGUGUAGCGGUGAAAUGCGUAGAGAUCGGGAGGAACAUCAGUUGCGAAGGCGGCCACCUGGACCAGCACUGACACUGAGGCACGAAAGCGUGGGGAGCAAACAGG
rnacentral:rRNA from 1 species